GGCAAAAGCUCAAAUUUGAAAUCUAACACUUUCAGUGUUCGAGUUGUAAUUUGAAGAAAGUUUCUCUGAGUAGUCCUUUAUCUAUGUUCCUUGGAACAGGACGUCAUAGAGGGUGAGAAUCCCGUAUGAUUUUGGAUACUAUUCUUUGUGAGAUUCUUUCGAAGAGUCGAGUUGUUUGGGAAUGCAGCUCUAAGUGGGUGGUAAAUUCCAUCUAAAGCUAAAUAUUGGCGAGAGACCGAUAGCGAACAAGUACAGUGAUGGAAAGAUGAAAAGAACUCUGAAGAGAGAGUGAAAAAGUACGUAAAUUGCUGAAAGGGAAGGGCUUUAGGUCAGACUUGGUGUUUAAUGAUUAUCUUCUCUUUUUGAGUUGUGCACUCGUUUUUCACUGGGCCAAUAUCAGUUUUUGUGGUAGAGCACCUAUUGGAAUGUGGCUUAUCUUCGGAUAAGUGUUAUAGCCUUUAGACGAUCUAUUUACGGGGACUGAGGACUGCGCAUUAUGCUAGGAUAUUGGCGUAAUGACCUUAAGCCGCCCGUCUUGA
rnacentral:sRNA from 1 species